UACGAAGGGGGCUAGCGUUGCUCGGAAUUACUGGGCGUAAAGGGCGCGUAGGCGGACAGUUUAGUCAGAGGUGAAAGCCCAGGGCUCAACCUUGGAAUUGCCUUUGAUACUGGCUGUCUUGAGUUCGGAAGAGGUAAGUGGAAUGCCGAGUGUAGAGGUGAAAUUCGUAGAUAUUCGGCGGAACACCAGUGGCGAAGGCGACUUACUGGUCCGAUACUGACGCUGAGGCGUGAAAGCGUGGGGAGCAAAC
rnacentral:rRNA from 1 species